AAAGGAAUUGACGGGAUCCUGCACAAGCAGCGGAGCGCCUGGUUUAAUUCGAUGGUAAACGAAGGACCUCACCAAGGCUUGAACUGUAUCUGCAAGCUCGUGAAAGCGAGUCGCCUUCGAGGGUGAUACAGAGGUGUUGCAUGGCUGUCGUCAGCUCGUGUCGUGAGAUGUCCGGUUAAGUCCGGUAACGAGCGCAACCCCUUUCCGAUGUUAUAAUUUCUUCGGAUACUGCCCCGUCCAAACGGGGAGGAAGGAGGGGAUGAUGUCUAGUCAUCAUAGCCCUUAUGUCUUGGGCAACACAGACGCUACAAUGGCUUAUACAAAGCGUUGCCAAACCGCGAGGUGGAGCUAAUCGCAUAAAAUAAGUCUCAGUUGGGAUAACAGUCUGAAACUCGACUGUUUGAACGUGGAGUUGCUAGUAAUCGUGAAUCAGCUUGUCACGGUGAAUACGUUCUCGGGAUUUGUACACACCGCCCGU
rnacentral:rRNA from 1 species